rnacentral:rRNA from 1 species
UACGUAGGGUGCGAGCGUUAAUCGGAAUUACUGGGCGUAAAGCGUGCGCAGGCGGUUUUGUAAGCCCGAUGUGAAAGCCCCGGGCUUAACCUGGGAAUGGCAUUUGGGACUGCAAGGCUUGAGUGCGGCAGAGGAGACUGGAAUUCCUGGUGUAGCAGUGAAAUGCGUAGAGAUCAGGAAGAACACCCGUGGCGAAAGCGACCACCUGGCCGAGACCUGACGCUGAGGCACGAGAGCGUGGGGAGCGAACCGG